UGUUUGUAUCUUCCCACAGCUUUAUUGAACCGCAACAAAUGCCAUGCCAAGUCUGUGGCCUCAUGCAAAGAUGAUGCAGUUCAAGAAAGCUGUGGAAAAAUACAAAG
rnacentral:pre_miRNA from 1 species